rnacentral:lncRNA from 10 species
CUGGCAUAACAACAGACAUAUAGACAAUGGAAUAGAGACUCCAGAAAUAAACCCUUUAUUACUGAAACACCAGGGAUGUGUUCUAGGUUAUGCUGCUUGCUGCACAGAAAGCCAGUUGCUGAGACGAUGAGUUUUGCCAGAGAAGGAGGUUUUAAUUGGGUGCUGUAGCUGAGGAGAGGGUAACUCAGUCUCAAAUCCAUCUCCCUGGCUGACUACAAUUAAGGGCUUAUAUAGCAGGGAAGAACUGUAACUACAUGCAGGAAAAUAGGAAUUAGGGAGAGAUAAGGAAGAGAAGUUGGUCAACAGGAAGCAGGAGGUCACUUAGGCAAUCAUGAUGGGUUGAGGGGUUUGAGGUUUCAUUGUUUAGAUGCAGUGAUCUGGUACGUUUCAGUUCCUUGAUAUCAUCUGGGAGACCUGAUGGUUGGUUUCCUGAGAAAGGAACUCAG